rnacentral:lncRNA from 1 species
CCCGCCGCUAGGGGGCAGCACCGGAUCAUGAAACCUACAGGAAAUGAAACGGGGAAGAAUUUGUUUUUAAGAGUUUGUAGCAACAGGUUGUUGUUUUACUUUUUUAGCUUCAUAUGUCUUUGUUUUGCUCUUUUAUAAUUACUUUGUUUUGUUGGAAUCUAACAAUUGUCGCUUUAAACUUCCACCUUUUGCUCUAAAUUUGGGCCAAACCGCGUUUUUUCUGAAGCUGAUUCAAGCGAAAGCGGGAAGUUUGAAUGGAGUGAGCUAACUUUAGCCUGCAUGCUAACAGGUAAAGGCUCACCUGUCGACAUGUUCUCGUCUUCCUCCCCUCCCCUUCCUCACGGUUCGGUUCGGUCGUCGUGCGGUUCGGAAACCGCAGAAGUUUUGCUCCGCUCCACACGGGUUCUUCCUCCGAACCGGAGCCGUGUGUCCGAAUCAGGUCCUCGAUCCGUCCACAUCAGUGUUCAGAAGCUGCCGGACUCUACGGGGGUUAGGCCGAAGCGAACCGAACCGGAACCGAGACCGAAGAAGCACACACACCCUCCGGGAAGCCUGGAGGUGGAACCGGAGCCAGAUGAAGACGUGCUGACAUCGCGCUUCACAGCCGGAGGUCGAGGAGCCGUUCUGGGAGCUCUGAGGAGGCGCUCAAACAGCGCCUCCAACAGGAAGGAGGUGCGAGUGCAGCUUCUCCCCCAGGAAGCCUUGCAGAGAGAUCGUCACGCUGCAGCCGGGGUCAGGGUGCAGACGGAGGCAGCUGCUCCUCCCAUCGGGGUAACUGCUUUUGACCAGCUGAGAAACACACGUCGAUCCAUCUUCAUUCAUUCAUUCAUUCAUCUCUGUGGCCUUCAGGGUCAGUCGGAUUUAGAGACUCGAGUGUCUCGACUGCUGGAAGACAUCCACAACGUGCUGGACUCUCACAGGUACUGACUCCUCUGGAAAACCUGAAAAAAUCUGAAUUUCUGGGUGUUUUUUUUCAUAUUUGCUGCUAGAGCUGCCACAAACGAUUAUUUUAAUAGUCGACUAAUCACCGAUUAUUUUUUCCAAUUAGUCGACUAAUCGGGUCAUGCUCAAACUGGAUGUAAAACACACAUCUU